GACGAACGCUGGCGGCGUGCUUAACACAUGCAAGUCGAACGGCAACACCCUGCUUUUUUGCUGUUCUCGAUUGGCGAACGGGUGAGUAACACGUGUGUAACCUGCUCUUGUCUUUGGUAUAACUUCACGUAACUGGAGCUACUACCGUAUAGCAUCUCCUGUUGCAUGGUGGGCGUUGGAAAUUCUCGGCUGUUGCGGAUGGACUCGCGGCUUAUCAGCUUGUUGGUGGGGUAGUGGCUUACCAAGGCUUUGACGGGUAGCCGGCCUGAGAGGGUGACCGGCCACAUGGGGACUGAGAUACGGCGCAGACGCCUACGGGAGGCAGCAGGGGGGAAUAUUGCACAAUGGGCGGAAGCGUGAUGAAGAAACGCUGCGUGCGGGAAGACGGCCUGUGGGUUGAAAACAGCAGUAGCUUGUGACGAAGCGUGAGUGACGGUAAUGGGUAAAGAAGCACCGGCUAACUACGUG
rnacentral:rRNA from 1 species